GAUCCGUUAGCUCAGCUGGGAGAGCGCCACCUUGACAGGGUGGAGGUCGUAGGUUCGAGCCCUACACGGGUCACCA
rnacentral:tRNA from 2 species